rnacentral:rRNA from 1 species
UACGGAGGGGGCAAACGUUGUUCGGAAUUACUGGGCGUAAAGGGUGCGUAGGCGGUUCGAUAAGUCUAGUGUGAAAUCUCUCAGCUUACCUGAGAAACUGCGCUGGAAACUAUCGAGCUCGAGGAUGGAAGAGACAGGUGGAAUUUCUGGUGUAGCGGUGGAAUGCGUAGAUAUCAGAAAGAACACUCGUGGCGAAGGCGGCCUGCUGGUCCAUUUCUGACGCUGAGGCACGAAAGCCAGGGGAGCAAACGGG